GGGUGCCCCGGGGGGAGGUACAUGAACAGCCUUCCAUGUGCCUUCCCUCUAGGGGAUCUCAGGCUCUAGGUCUUCCUUUUUUUCUUUUCUGGCCAAGGGUUUUUUUUGCCCUGUGUUCUGAAAAGUGUAUGUACUCCACGCAGGCAGCAAGACGCGCAGACGCAACAGCCUACUCCUCUCACUUGGAUCGUGUAAUGAAGACUAACACUAGUGCAGCUACUUGUGCCGAUUCUAGUCGUUCCAAAACCACGUAUACGCACUUCGCUGUGUGUGUGUGUAUGGACAAACGUCAAAAAGGAAUCGUUCAGCAGUGAGUGUCCGCGAAACUGGGACCGCCGCCCCCACCUCCCCCCCUAGAACAGUGGUCAGAUGAGAUCGCUCCAAUCGAUUGGAAAUCGACUUCCCGUAGAAGGUGGUUGAGCACCAUCGCAAGUUCCUCCACAGAUCCUUGUGCGGAGCAUGUGUUUGCAGCGCCAUAUAUCAUCAUCAGCGGAGAAAAAAGCGGUCGAAUCGAACGAAUACCAAUCGGUUCUCGCGUGGAUGUGUGGAUCAACAGUUACAUAAUGCCGUAGUACGUCGGUUGCGGAUCGGUGGAUUUUCCGCCUCGAACGCCGGCGUACAGCAAGAACAGUUGUUGCAUAACUCCCACAACGGUACAGAAUUUUGAGAAAGUUCUUCAGACGUUUCAGAGGCACAUUUUGCAUCAAGAUGUUGUACGGCAAAGGCAAAUAAUUGUGCCUCAAAAAGUCAACCAAAAAGCAUUAUUGAACUGUCUUCAAAGCCAUCAGCUUACCAUGUGUGCCUGCAUGUCGCUCCCUCUCUGUCUCUCUUUCUAACACUCUCCUGAUUGCGGCGCUACUAGAUUGCCCACGCACGGAAGGCUCCGACGGUCCCAUGGUGAUCCUUUUCUUUCUACUCUUGCCCUCGCGAUCCUCAUCACAGCAUCCUUGGAAAUUGUAAACCUUCCAGAUGUUUGUGCUUCACAGAACCUCCGGAGAGCCUACCGCUGCCUGUGCAGGCAUUAGCGUGGCUUGGGUUAGCUACAAUUUAUGGCACUGAAAUGCAAAACAGAAUCGUCACCGAAACAGGAAACGGAUAAGAUUUGGUUUUUGAAAAUUAAAUUCCUCAGGAAGAUCAUCCUGCCCGCCGCGAGGAUCGAUGACCAGCCAAGCAGACGCAUCAGCCGCACGGCAAUUUUGAGAACGAACGGACGCACAUUACAUUCCACCGGAUAGCAGAUGUUUUCCAAAAAAUCUGCCACAUCGGUCAAACGGUCGGUUGUCGAACUACUAAAUUUAAAUCCCAAGCUCCUUCCACCUCACACUAUCGGUCCACAGAUCCCGACCGCUGCCGUCGUACCUCACCGAAUAAAAAAAAAACGAUUAUUUGGACGUGUCGCGGAGUGUAAGCAGGCGCGCGCCCUCCUAUGUCCAAAAAGGCACCAAGAUGGUGGACAGAUAUCACGUGGUAGCGCCACGGUGUGUGUCCCCUGGAGAUACAUCUACCUCCCCUGGAGGGAGUUUGCAGUGGAGGGUGUUUGGUCAUGUAAUGUCUGUAGAAUCCUAUUUUUAAACCUCCAAUAAUCCAAUCGCUCGCUCUCUCUCUCUCGCGUGCGCCUGGAAUGUCGGCACAGGUCGGUACGGGACAUGAAUCUCGGUGUGGGGUGAUCGUCUGAUGCAAAUCAUCAUGCUAGUAAAAUAUUGCCUGCUUUUAGUCACUAUCUAAUUUCGGGCGAGAGUUUCUGGUGAGCUCGGAAUUAUGAGAACCGCUUAUACGGAAGGGAACUUAGGGUCAUUAGACUUUCGGGGGGAGAAAAUGUUUUAGCAUUAGCUGGAUGUUGGACCAACCCUUGGACCUGCUUCGGUUUAAUGAACGUUCCCGAUCACUAAGGUCUCCUCCGUUCCUCAGCUUCUAGUGUCCGUGUGUGGCACACCAAAGAAGUGUCCACAUACAUGCGCAGCGCAAGGGAAACGGUUUGCGCAUGCCACCGCAAAGGCCGGACACUACUAUACCGACCGACCUGAGGAGGGUGGCGGCUUUGGGCGCUACGGCGCUUACUCACAAUCCCUGAGCAGGUCAUUGAGAUGUGGUAUGUACGGGACGGGUUUCCGGCCCAACCUUACGGGCCGAAUCGAGUCGAGUGUGUGGGAGAUGCGAGCAUGCAACAAGAGUAAAAUAAAAACUCCACCACCGGGACGGACGGACGGUGUUUUAUUUAUAAAAUACCUAUUUCUACCGACCGCCCGAAACCGGGGACGGUGUGUUGGUGUGGAACGCGGAACGCGAUCUUGUGAUUGUGAUUUCAUUUUAUACACAAUUUUUCAUAUUUCUGUACUGCUCGGUGCGCAGAUUCACCGCGUACAGGACCCGGUGCAUCGCGAAUUGAUGCAAGAUGGAAGCUACCCAAGCACGUGGACACACAUUUUACUCUGUUGAGUACGGGUGCGAUCUUCGGUCUGUUUUGAGGCCCAAGGCAUGGCGAUUGAAUAGGAGAGGCGGAAAGCGGAUUGAUGCAGGUCUUGUGCAAUGUAUGAGGAUACAGAGGAAAU